UACGAAGGGGGCUAGCGUUGUUCGGAAUCACUGGGCGUAAAGCGCACGUAGGCGGGUCGUUAAGUCGGGGGUGAAAUGCCAAGGCUCAACCUUGGAACUGCCUUCGAUACUGGCGAUCUCGAGUCCGGGAGAGGUGAGUGGAACUCCGAGUGUAGAGGUGAAAUUCGUAGAUAUUCGGAAGAACACCAGUGGCGAAGGCGGCUCACUGGACUGGUAUUGACGCUGAGGUGCGAAAGCGUGGGGAGCAAACAGG
rnacentral:rRNA from 1 species